rnacentral:rRNA from 1 species
UGGGGAAUAUUGCACAAUGGACGGAAGUUUGAUGCAGCGACGCCGCGUGGAGGGUGUAGGCCUUCGGGUUGUGAACUCCUUUUUCUCGCGAAAAAGGCACAGUUUUGGCUGUGUUGAUGGUAGUGGGGGAAGAAGCGCCGGCUAACUACGUGCCAGCAGCCGCGGUAAUACGUAGGGCGCGAGCGUUGUCCGGAUUUAUUGGGCGUAAAGGGUACGUAGGCGGGUAAGCAAGUUAGAAGUGAAAUCCUAUAGCUCAAAUAUAGUAAGCUUUUAAAACUGCUCAUCUUGAGGUAUGGAAGGGAAAGUAGAAUUCCUAGUGUAGCGGUGAAAUGCGCAGAUAUUAGGAGGAAUACCGGUGGCGAAGGCGACUUUCUGGCCAUAACCUGACGCUGAGGUACGAAAGCGUGGGUAGCAAACAGG